rnacentral:tRNA from 1 species
GCCAUUGAGCCCUGAUGGCGGAAUUGGUAGACGCGGCGGAUUCAAAAUCCGUUUUCGAAAGAAGUGGGAGUUCGAUUCUCCCUCGGGGCACCACC